rnacentral:rRNA from 1 species
UUUUGUAUAAUGGGUCAGCGACUUAUAUUCUGUAGCAAGGUUAACCGAAUAGGGGAGCCGGAGGGAAACCGAGUCUUAAUUGGGCGUUAAGUUGCAGGGUAUAGACCCGAAACCCGGUGAUCUAGCCAUGGGCAGGUUGAAGGUUGGGUAACACUAACUGGAGGACCGAACCGACUAAUGUUGAAAAAUUAGCGGAUGACCUGUGGCUGGGGGUGAAAGGCCAAUCAAACCGGGAGAUAGCUGGUUCUCCCCGAAAGCUAUUUAGGUAGCGCCUCGUGAAUUCAUCUCCGGGGGUAGAGCACUGUUUCGGCUAGGGGGCCAUCCCGGCUUACCAACCCGAUGCAAACUGCGAAUACCGGAGAAUGUUAUCACGGGAGACACACGGCGGGUGCUAACGUCCGUCGUGAAGAGGGAAACAACCCAGACCGCCAGCUAAGGUCCCAAAGUCAUGGUUAAGUGGGAAACGAUGUGGGAAGGCCCAGACAGCCAGGAUGUUGGCUUAGAAGCAGCCAUCAUUUAAAGAAAGCGUAAUAGCUCACUGGUCGAGUCGGCCUGCGCGGAAGAUGUAACGGGGCUAAACCAUGCACCGAAGCUGCGGCAGCGACGCUUAUGCGUUGUUGGGUAGGGGAGCGUUCUGUAAGCCUGUGAAGGUGGCCUGUGAGGGUUGCUGGAGGUAUCAGAAGUGCGAAUGCUGACAUAAGUAACGAUAAAGCGGGUGAAAAGCCCGCUCGCCGGAAGACCAA